CACCAGCUCCUCUGUGACCCAGUAUGGAAGAAGCAGGUUUAGAAAAUGCAUGGACGGAUGGAUGGAGGGAGGAUAGGAAACUCACAAAAACACAAGAAGAAGAGGAACAUGUGAGUCACAGACAUGCAGACAGGGAGUAUAAUGGGAGGCUCCUGUGGGGAGCAAUGAUAACAGGUCAGCUUAAAUACUGAGGGAUGAGGGGAGAAAUGACAUAUAAUGCAGGUGCGAGCAAUCAGGAGAAUAUGUGGAUCAGCUGGGCAGAAGGCAAGUGGGGAGACAGGGAAGGGAAACUUAUUGGCAUGAAUAGAGCUCAGCUGGGACACUAAAUGAGGGGAAAAGAAAAACAGAUGUAACAGAAUAAAUACUAAGUACAAUAAGAAUGAACUAAUACACUAAGCACAAACGAGUAACUUCUAUGGCAAGAAUAUUAUUGACACUAUUGGCUAUGUGAAAACAGAUUUGACAGUAUAGUUGUAUUUUCUUCAUUAAGUCAUUUCUUCAAAGCCUUCUUUUCCUAAUGUAUUUCUGCUGUGGUGUCAUUCUGUCCUGAUGACUGGAUAUAAUUUUUUGAAUUGGGCUUUUAUUUAACUAUUUUUGAGCAGAUCACUAUUUAAAAUUGUUGCAAAAUAUAACUCCCUUCUCUUUGAGGUUGCUUUAGAGUUAGAUUAUUCAGCAAUAUUAAUUUCAAUUAAUCAUCUGUUGGUAUCGGUGGAAAUAAUUAUCUGAUUGCAAAAAUAAUCCACGUUUAACAUGCACCAGUUAAUGCCACAGGUUAAGCUUCAUCUCAAUAAAGGUGCCACCACAAACAGCUCAACAAGUAGUUAUUUUUGGACAUACCCAAGCUUUGAAAUGACAUGGUGUAGGUGUCUUAUUAUUGUAACAGAUAAAAAAUAAAAAAUUUAGCUAAACUACUAAUGAGUUACUUAAAACAUACACAUUACUCAAUACCAGGACAAAUUGCUUUGCCUAGAGCCUAAGUGAAAUGUAUAUUAGUGACUCCUUAGGCUAGGUAAAAACAAAUCUCACAGUAUAGUUUUAUUUUCUUCAUAAAGAAUUUUUUUUCAAUGUCUCCUUUCAUAAUGUAUUCCUGCUGUGGUGUUAGUCUGUCUCUGAUGACUGAAUAUAAUUUCUUGAAUGGAGCUCUUACGGACGUAUAUUUGAGCAGAUAGUUAUUUGCUAUAUAACUCUCCUCUCUUUGUUCAGUCUAAUUGCUGCAAAAUGUAUCCAAUGAAAACUGCUCUGCUUGAGGUCUGUAGGGACAUUAUGAGGACAUGUUUUUUGGUAAUCAUAUUGAGUAGGAGAUUACCAUUUGGGGUCCCUCAGGGCUCCAUUCUCGGGCUUCAUCUGUUUUUAUUUUUGACAGCGCCUCUAAAGCUGAGGUGUCUAAAAAGAACCCAUAUGUGUGCCCCCAAACUGCAAUUUCAAAGUGAUUCAAAUUUGGCCAACCAGAAAAUGCAGUUGACACAGAUGGACACACUGACAAAAGAAUCCUUUUAAAAUGGAACACAGACACAACACAAAGUAUUUUUCUUUUAUUAAACUUUUUUUUGCUUUUAUUUAAAUUUUAUAGUAAAUGGGACGAGUGAACAGUAUUUAGUUUUUAUAUUAUGCUUUUCUUUUGAUAAGGAAAUAUUAAAGAUCCUUUUCAUGUUUUAGAUUUACAGUAAUUUAUAAAUCCUUUCUCUCAAAAAUCAAGCCACUGUCAUAUUAUGGCAUGUUUAGUUUAUUGUUGAACAGGUAAAAAAAAAACAAAAAAAACUCAAUUCUUGGCCUGAAAGUAUUUUCAAUUUGGCAACUUUGAUCCGUGUGGCAAAAAGCUUGGACACCAAUGCUUUAGAUGGCUUAUAAGCAGUUUCAGCAACAUAUUUGAUCUCUUAUAUAUGAAUGAGGAUCCAGUCUGUGGUCUCAUGUUUUUUUGUCUGAUCACUCAAAGCUGAACUAUGGUUUAUGUCAUCAUCUAAUUAAACAAACAGAAAUGUUGAACUUUUUACCCAACAGUUGUGUCAGGCAGCAAAAAGACAUGUAUUGUUUGUGAAUUGCCCAGGAAACCUUGGCUACUUUCACACUGCAGGUCUUGAUGCUCAAUUCCAAUUUUUUAAUGAAAUUCGAUUUUGAGUGGUUAUUUAAGCUACGGAUUGAAUGUGACCACCAUCAGAGCGACCAUACGCAGAAGGAGAAUGUAGACGUCGCACAGCAGCACAUUGUUUAUGUAAGUAAUAAAGGAUGCGAACGUAGCCUUAGUGUCAUGAUUGAUAAGGGAACUUCUUCAAAUUAUUAAUCAAAAUCAUUUAUACAUUUUACUCAGAAGGAAUGUUUUAAAAUUAAGAACUGUGGCAUAAGAAGCUUAAUUGGAGAUUUAUAUAUUUUUUCCUUCUAAUUUUUUUUUCCCUUUUAAUUUUUCCUUGUUUUAAUAGAAGCAUGUAUGUAUAUAUUUUCUUCUGGUAAAAAGUAAAUUUUUUAAAUAUAUUUCCCAAUAAAUCUAGGACAUGAUCAAUUCUUUUCACGUUUGCUGAUGCUUAGUUUGCUUCGGCAGAGAUUAAUGACUCGCCUAUUGGCACCAUUGGUAAAGAUGUAUAAAAAAGCUUCUAAAUAGAUUAAUCUUUUAUUGUAGUUGUCUGAGUCUGUAUGUGUGUGUGUGUGUUUUGGUGUACUUGUCUACAUAACCAUUCAGUUUCCAGUUGGUACUGGAGCUCUCAGGUGCGCUGGAUGACAGGUGUCUCCUAUCUGCUGAUUGCUUGGAGGAGUACUUAAGCGGGAGGCUGCCAGCACUUCGAUGCCAGAGUGUUUGCUUUAGUGGUUUUUACCUGAGGCUUUGUUUACCUUGCUGAGUACCGACUUUGUUCCAGAGGUUCUCUGAGCAUCUGGAUUAUCAACUACUGAGUUAAGGAUCUAUCUUCCUGUGGAUUUCUCUCACCACCGUCUGUACCUUUCGGGCACGGACCAAGCUGGCGGCUUCCCGUUUCCUCCAACUCCAGGACCCAGGCAUCAGCAUACCCUGUCCCUUCCUCCAUCUCGAACAUCAGCACCUGAGCUCCAUUUCGCUGGCACCAAGAUCAAACAACUAAACGAUCUUCCUUCGCAAGUUAAGACUCUGAAUCUCUCUACCCCUGGUGGUUCAAAGUACAACAAUUUAUUGGUGUUUCCAGUCCUCAUCCCAGAUUAUUUUGCUGACAAUAAAAUCUGUAAAACGUUCUCUUCUGAGUGUUCUCUGUAUGUGGGUCAGAUCUAUACCGAAAAUGACAGUAGUACUAUAAUUUCACACUGAAC